rnacentral:rRNA from 1 species
ACCGCCUACGGGGGGCAGCAGUGAGGAAUAUUGGUCAAUGGACGCAAGUCUGAACCAGCCAUGCCGCGUGCAGGAAGACGGCUCUAUGAGUUGUAAACUGCUUUUGUACGAGGGUAAAUCCCGAUACGUGUAUCGGGUUGAAAGUAUCGUACGAAUAAGGAUCGGCUAACUCCGUGCCAGCAGCCGCGGUAAUACGGAGGAUUCAAGCGUUAUCCGGAUUUAUUGGGCGUAAAGGGUGCGUAGGCGGCCUGCUAAGUCUGGAGUGAAAGGUACCGGCUCAACCGGUACAGGCUCUGGAAACUGGG